CCUUAAGUUCUUGGUGUCUCAGUUUCCAGAUGAGAUUACGUACAUGAAAGCAUUUACUCUUUUAUCUCCACCCUGUCAAACAAGAAAGCAGACACCUAGGAAUGUGCGAGAAGUCUGCUGAGUGAUACUAUUUCUGCACAUCCAUCUUUUUCACUCUUUCUGGACUCUUUCUGGACUUUUUGAGGGUGACAUCCCCACCCCCACCACCAAUCACCUUUAUUGCAGAGCUUGGCACAUAGCAGACGUCAAUGACUGUUGAAUGGCUGUAUUAAUAGUUUGAAGUCUACGGAAACGAACGUGGCUUCUCAAACUCCUGGACCCUGAAUCCAUCCAGAAAAAAACCAAAGCGAAUUCCGUUCAUUAAGCGGAACUCUGCCAGGUACUGGGCAUUCGGAAACACAAAUCUCAUGGUGGAGCAAUGGAAGGGAAGCUCAUGAUGGGCGGGUGUACUUCACAUUCAACAAUCUGCAGUUAUAGCUCCACUUUCUGGGAAGCAAAAUCUCUCUGUGGCCCCAGGGCCCUUUAAAUUUUGCUGUGACUGUUUUCUUAAGAAAUUCCUGGAACAGAGCCUAACUUUUGUGUAGGGGGUUGGCAGAGCACAUAUUCGCGGCCUAAGGGACGGUUGGCAUAAGGGUUGGCAAGGCGUUCACACGCGAGGGAAACUUCCGAGGAGUGAGAACAGCCCUGUGCAGGGUCGUGAAUGGGGGGUGGGAGGGAACCGAAGAAUCUUUGAACUCCAGGGCUUUAGGGAAUUUGGGGAAGGGAAACGGGGGGUGGCCAAAGCGGCCAGACCUUUGCGGGACUUCAACGCUCCCCACCUCUCCUCUCUGCCAGCCCACGUGCGGCAAAGCAAGGGUUCGGCGGCCGAACUGAGUAAGAGCCCGGGCGUCUGGGCAGGAGGGAGGAGGGCUAGGCCAGGAGGAAGGAGUCCGGGCCGCCGCCGCCCCGCCCGUCGGGCUGUCCGCCCCGCCUACCCCGAGCGAGGCGGAGCCGGCGCCCGCCCGGAGGAGCAGGAGGAGGAGGAGAGGUCGGAGCCGUCUCCAGGAGCCCUUAGAGACAGAGUCCCCGGCAGCAGCGGUGGUGGCAGGGGCAGCGCUCUGGCAGGCGAAUUCAUCCCAUCACCUAAAACCUGGUAACAGUGGGCCACACAGAGUCUUACUGGUGAAAACCCUCAGCGAAGAUGUCAAGCAAAACAGCCAGCACCAACAACAUCGCGCAGGCAAGGAGGACGGUGCAGCAGCUAAGGAUGGAAGCUUCCAUUGAAAGAAUAAAG
rnacentral:lncRNA from 9 species